UACGUAGGUGGCAAGCGUUAUCCGGAUUUAUUGGGCGUAAAGGGAACGCAGGCGGUCUUUUAAGUCUGAUGUGAAAGCCUUCGGCUUAACCGGAGUAGUGCAUUGGAAACUGGGAGACUUGAGUGCAGAAGAGGAGAGUGGAACUCCAUGUGUAGCGGUGAAAUGCGUCGAUAUAUGGAAGAACACCAGUGGCGAAAGCGGCUCUCUGGUCUGUAACUGACGCUGAGGUUCGAAAGCGUGGGUAGCAAACAGG
rnacentral:rRNA from 1 species